AUGUACCAAGCCUGGAUUGUGAUCAACAAGCGGGAAGGCUACAUCCAUACUGCAAAUUGCACCUGCAUGGCAGGGCUUGGGUCAUGCUGCAGUCAUGCAGCUGCAAUUUUAUUCAAAAUCGAAAUCUGUGUUAGAAUGGGAUUGACAGAGAAACCAGCACUCACUUCUGGAGAGUGCAAGUGGAAAGCCUUACACAGGAAAGAAGUCGAACCAGCCCCAUUAAAGAAAAUCAGCUUCCACAAACCAAAGAGGACAGGCAGGCUAGACAGGCAGCUUCCAGAAACGGUCAGGAGUAGAUCUAGUUCCACUGCCAGAGCCACAGGCAUGUAAUAGUUGACAGAGCAUAGAUAAGAUUCGUUUUGCCAAAAGUUCAUUUUAUUUUCAUUACUCCUCCCAAGUUUUUUGACAUUAUAAUGUCACAUAAGGAUUAAGUUUGUUCUACAGCCAUCUUACACUGUAAUGCAUAAUUGCAUGCCAUGCCAUGCUGUAUAGUGUUAUGAUAGUUUGAUUGUGUAAAUCCCAACAUUCUGGAAAUAAGAGUAUCUAGAUCUAGAUUGUGCACUAACCAUUUAAAAUGAUAUAUCAGUAUACAAACUGAAGGAGAGACAGAUACACACACAAAAAAAAAAAAAAAUGUUGUGGAAAUGUGACAAUACUGUUGUAAAUGUCCUAUAGUGAAAACAAUAAUAGUCGAAUGCUACUCUUAACAAAAAUUUUGACUUAAAAUUUUGAAUGUUUAGAACUCACAUGCCCCUCCCCACCUCCCACCCGACAAUGUUUAGAACUCACACUGCCCCUCCCCCACUCCCACCGAUUGACAGCUGUCACACAGCCCUGCGCUGAUUGGACCAGAAGAACUGUGAGCGGUGGAUUUUUGCAAAACAAAUAACAUGCUCCAGGUGGAGGUAGAAGCGCGGGUUUUUUUUCUAAAACCGGCUGAUUUAUGUUGUUCUGUCGGAUCAUAGUGUUGGUUUCACUGAAUACGAUCAAAAAAUCCUGCCGACGGCAGCUUUAACAUAUUCGAUGAUCAAUGGUACAGUCUUGUUCCAUCUCUGCCAUGUGUGAAUAUAUAUAUGUGUGUGUGUAUAGCAUAUAGUGAAAGU
rnacentral:lncRNA from 1 species